rfam:Anaeromyxobacter sp. RBG_16_69_14 RBG_16_scaffold_16496, whole genome shotgun sequence.
CUUUGACACAGCCCCACGGUCCCCGGUCUGGGGGCAACGUUCGGCCGCGGCGCCAUGAC